rnacentral:rRNA from 1 species
GACAGAGGGUGCAAACGUUGUUCGGAAUUACUGGGCGUAAAGCGCGUGUAGGCGGCUUGGCAAGUCGGGUGUGAAAGCCCUGGGCUCAACCUAGGAAGUGCACUCGAAACUGCUUCGCUUGAGUGUCGGAGAGGAAAGCGGAAUUCUCGGUGUAGAGGUGAAAUUCGUAGAUAUCGAGAGGAACACCGGUGGUGAAGGCGGCUUUCUGGACGAUUACUGACGCUGAGGCGCGAAAGCGUGGGGAGCAAACAGG